UUUAAAUUGAGAGUUUGAUCCUGGCUCAGGAUGAACGCUGGCGGCGUGCUUAACACAUGCAAGUCGAGCGAUGAAGUUUCCUUCGGGAAACGGAUUAGCGGCGGACGGGUGAGUAACACGUGGGUAACCUGCCUCAUAGAGUGGAAUAGCCUUCCGAAAGGAAGAUUAAUACCGCAUAACGUUGAAAGAUGGCAUCAUCAUUCAACCAAAGGAGCAAUCC
rnacentral:rRNA from 1 species